rnacentral:rRNA from 1 species
AGCAGCCGCGGUAAUACGGAGGGUCCAAGCGUUAUCCGGAUUUAUUGGGUUUAAAGGGUCCGUAGGCGGAUUUUUAAGUCAGUGGUGAAAGCCUGCAGCUCAACUGCAGAACUGCCAUUGAUACUGGAAAUCUUGAGUGUAUUUGAAGUGGGCGGAAUGUGUCAUGUAGCGGUGAAAUGCAUAGAUAUGACACAGAACACCGAUUGCGAAGGCAGCUCACUAAACUACAACUGACGCUGAGGGACGAAAGCGUGGGGAGCGAACAGGAUUAGAUACCCUGG